CUCUUAUUCAGAGUGGUGGAGGUAAAAGGACUGAUGAAGCCACGGCAACCCCUUGUCACGGACAGGAAGGUGCCAACCUGAGCGAGUAAUCGAACAAUAAGAG
rnacentral:ncRNA from 2 species